rnacentral:rRNA from 1 species
GCUAAUACCCCAUACGCUCGUCGGGACCAGAAGCCGGCGAGGAAAGGUUGAGGCGCUGAAGGAGGGGGCUGUGGCCCAUCAGCUAGUUGGUAGGGUAACGGCCUACCAAGGCGAGGACGGGUAGGGGGCCUGAGAGGGUGACCCCCCACACGGGCACUGAGACACGGGCCCGACUCCUACGGGAGGCAGCAGUAGGGGAUAUUGCGACAAUGGGCGCAAGCCUGACGCAGCAACGCCGCGUGCGGGAUGACGGCCUUCGGGUUGUAAACCGCUUUUCAGGGGGAAGAGGAAGGACGGUACCCCUGGAAUAAGUCUCGGCUAACUACGUGCCAGCAGCCGCGGUAAAACGUAGGAGGCGAGCGUUAUCCGGAUUUAC